rnacentral:lncRNA from 1 species
GGCUACAAGGCUAUGGAUUGCCCCUACAUCUGAAUUUAGAUAUCAGUAUCCCUCUCAGAAUACAUUUAGACUACCUGCUUCAGAAGUACCGACCUCUUAUUCGGGUCAACCCUCAAGACAAGGAGGGCCUCCAAAGCAAAAGACUCGGGCCCGUGUUUACGCUAUGACUCAGCAGGACACAGAAGCAUCAAAUACCAUAAUAAUAGGUACCCC